UCUUCAUCUUCUAUUUUGUCUCAUAUUCCCCUUCUAUUUCUGUUUAUUUGUCUUUACUUACUUCUUUUAUUUUUUUUCUUAUUCCCUUCCUUUUUAGAAGAUGGAAUGCUGACAAAACUUUCUUUCUUUUGUACGUGUCCUUACCCCUUUUGUUCCCUGUCCACGUGUUAGUUUCUUCUUCUUCCCUCUUUCUCUUUCGUUGAAGCUCCACUACUGUUUCUUUUCCUCAUUCCUUCUUUUUUUGUUGCAGGUAACCUCUCUCUGUUCUUCAUCUCUCGAUUCUUCUUCGAUUCUUUUGGCUGUGCCCUCUCCGAUAAACAUCCACAUUUUCGUUUUCUUGCUUCUUCUAUCUAAAACUUCUCGCCACCGCCUAAAUCUCCCACUUAUGUGUUUUGAUUAGGGCUCGAUGCUCUUCCUGCUGUGUGGUGUGUGACAGAUACGGGAGAUACAAGGGAAACAUGAAAAUUGAAGGGAGACGUUGAAGGUAGAGUUGCACGGAGGUCUUGUGGUGUUCGAGAAGGAGGGUCCGUCUGACUGUAGUUCGACGCAUGAUACAAAUUAUGGUCAAAUUACCAAAAUCGCAUAGUAGAAGGUAAGCGUUAUGUUUUCAAUUUUUCAGUAUUUUAAUUCCGUUUUAGGGCAUUUUUAUUCUGUUAGAGUUGGGGUCCUUUUGUAGGGUUUAAGUUGGUUUACUAGAUGUUGUGGGUAGAUUUCAGAAUUACACCAUCAUCUCCAUCUUCACCUCCACGUAACAGACCCACUCAUCCCCUUUAUCUUCUUUUCGGUUUUUAUAUGUUCUUAUGGAGAUUUUACAUGGAUUAUGUACUAGAAACUUCAGUCCAAACAAUUCCCACCUUUGAUUUCUGCCCUAAUUUCCCCUUUAAAGGUUAUUUCCCUUGAGUUUUUCUCCGUUGAUCCCUCCAUAGAUUCCUCUGUUGGUGGUGACGUCCUACUAUCGGGUGUAUCUGCUUCUAAUCAGAUAUUUACAGGAAGGUUAUCCACCGCCUUCUCCUUUUUCAAUUUUACAAAACGGGAUUCCAUCUGUUUUUCCAGUUCAUCGGUGAAAUCAUACAUGUAGCUUCACCGGAUACGUUGAGUAACCAGAUGGAAGGGACAAAGAGAGAGAGAGAGAGACAACUUCCCAUACCCAAAUAUGCAGAUAUCUUACCCAUGGUCAAUUCUGGAUUUGAUGCUAAUGAUCUACAGUUCUUAAUCACCACUGUUAAAGCCUAUUGAUUUGAUGAAUUUUGAGUAAGAGAUUGCAUUAAAUAUGAGGAGAAGAUGGUGUUUAAGCAAAUUAGCAACCUUUUCUCCAUCACUACCAUGAACUAUAUUAAGUUUCUUGCUAUUAUGGUGACAAAUACAAGUAUAUUGACAAUUUGAGUUAGUCUUUUAAUAGUUGUUGAGCAUACUUGAAGGGUUUUAUAUACAGAUCAGGGAGGCUGCAUAGGAAGUCAUUGUUUAAAAAGAAGCUUUUGAGACUCUCAUAUGUUUUAUCGUUUUUUUAAUUAAAUCUUCACCAUUGGUCAGGAACUAUUAUUUUAUGUUUUAAACAAAAAAAAAAUCAUUUAUCUUUAAAUUCAAGCCUAAACUAAAUUUUGUAAGAUAAUUAGGUCUAAACUCACACAAUUGGAAGAAUAAAGUGUCGCUUUGUUGAGUAUUUUUACCACUAUGUCUUCUUAAAGUAAUUGUUGUAUCAUACUCAUAUAUUCUUUCAGGAGGACCCUUAAUACAAACCUGCGAUUUUGUUGCUAAUGCAACCUUAUCUUGUGGCAUGAAAAAAUUAGGGGGUAUCAUUGAUGUCGAAAGAAGGUAAGUAUGCAUGUUAUUAGUAUUUAUUUAUUGUUUAUGUAACAUUAUUAGUUUCGGGAUCACUUUUUGUUUUUUUCCUUUUGCUUCAUAUUUUGAUUCAUAGAUGCUUUACUUGAAGAGUAAAUGUGAUUAUUAUCGACACUUGGCUGGAUUUAAGACAGAUGUUGAUAGGAAAGAUUUUGCUAAAAGCAAUUUGUUAGCUUACAAAUCUACUCAGGUGGCUGGUGUUACUCAUUACUGUUAUUACAAUUUGUUAGCUAAAAGCAAUGUACCUUCAUUGAUUUGUUUUUCAUCUAUAUUAAUGUAAUUAAGAAAUAACAAUGUACAAUCACUUUCUAUAACAUAGUUCAACAUAUUUGACUA